rnacentral:rRNA from 1 species
CCUACGGGUGGCUGCAGUGGGGAAUAUUGGACAAUGGGCGAAAGCCUGAUCCAGCCAUGCCGCGUGUGUGAAGAAGGCUUUCGGGUUGUAAAGCACUUUCAGUGGGGAAGAAAGCCUUGGGGCUAAUACCCUCGAGGAAGGACAUCACCCACAGAAGAAGCACCGGCUAACUCCGUGCCAGCAGCCGCGGUAAUACGGAGGGUGCGAGCGUUAAUCGGAAUUACUGGGCGUAAAGCGCGCGUAGGCGGUCUGAUAAGCCGGUUGUGAAAGCCCCGGGCUCAACCUGGGAACGGCAUCCGGAACUGUCAGGCUAGAGUGCAGGAGAGGAAGGUAGAAUUCCCGGUGUAGCGGUGAAAUGCGUAGAGAUCGGGAGGAAUACCAGUGGCGAAGGCGGCCUUCUGGACUGACACUGACGCUGAGGUGCGAAAGCGUGGGUAGCAAACAGGAUUAGAUACCCCAGUAGUC